rnacentral:lncRNA from 1 species
GUUCUUUCAAGUAAACUUGCCAUAUAUAUCUGCAGACCACAUAAUAGAGUCCCAUAUAUGAUUGCUUUCAGCCAUGAAAUAGCAUAAUCUUUGUAAGGUACAGGUAAUGUCUCAUGUGCCAAAUAUAAGUUUGAAUAUCUCCUUACACAUACCCCGUAUUUAUUAACCUAUACUAUGUACUAUUGAAAUAGACAAGAUAAUAAUAC